AGUGUUUGAUCAUGGCUCAGGAGAAACGCUGGCGGCGCACAUAAGACAUGCAAGUCGAACGGAAUCCAGCCAAAUGUUUACCAUGAGGCGAAGAUUUAGUGGCGGACGGGUGAGUAACACGUGAGCAACCUACCUUCAGGAGGGGGAUAACAUUGAGAAAUCAGUGCUAAUACCGCAUAACACUGCGAGAGGACAUCCUCAUGCAGUCAAAGGAGAAAUCCGCCUAAAGAUGGGCUCGCGGCUGAUUAGCCAGUUGGCGGGGUAACGGCCCACCAAAGCGAUGAUCAGUAGCCGAGCUGAGAGGCUCAACGGCCACAUUGGGACUGAGACACGGCCCAGACUCC
rnacentral:rRNA from 1 species